rnacentral:lncRNA from 1 species
CUGCAUUGAAGCCACCAUUUAAAAUCUUUACUGAUGUGUGCAUUUUUAAUAAAACAACCAAAAAAUUACACAAAGUCAUAGUUAUUUAAAACACAGGACUUUAAAAAAUGAUGUCUAUAAAAAUACAAUGUUUAAGGCAGUUUGGAAAUGCAUUUAUACAUUUCUACAAUGUCCAUAAAUUCUCUUGAAAAUAAGAACGUUACUUCAAAUCUGUAAAAUACACUGUACAUAUUUUUUAGACUGUUCUACACAGGGCACACUUCAAAACAGGCUUUCAGGAGUGGGUUCCUGGUGACCAAUGUGUCCUAUACAUUUCUUGGAUGGGGGUGAUGCAACAUUGGUGCAGAUUUAAACCUUUUAAUUUCUUUUUAAAAAUAAAUUAUUUCUGACGCAUACAAUUUAUAAAAAAUUCUAUAUACAAAGUACAGCAACUGGUAAGAAACCCCAGUUUUAAUACAGUUUAUAUACGACGUACCAGGGUAGAAGACCCCGAUAGGGGCAGAGGCAAUAUUCAAUCUCUGCAUAUUCAAACUUAGAAUUUCUUGGUGUUAAAAAAACCCCAAACAAACAAACAAACAAAAAACCCAAAACCAAACCAAACCAAAACAGAAAAAGGACAACGAAACAAACACCACACAGAAGUUUUCCUAGAUGGCAGUACGGAGCUUUAAGAUAAAAAGUUGCAUUGUUCAACACCAUGGUAAUAGGCCAGGUUUUUGGACCCUUAAUUCUAAGACACGUGGUGCUCAGAGAUCAGAAUAGUGGCAGCGAAACCGAAGGUGAGGUUAAGGUUAUAAUGCAGACAUGAUUCCGGGAACCCAGACAAGGCACUCGCCGGCUACACAAUCGGCGCGUUACCGUGUGCUACACCAAAAGUGCAGGAAUGAAUCGGGAAGGGUGUCUUGAGUUCCAGGGAUUCGAGCCAGCCGGUAGGACAGAUGGGUUAUCUUUGCAGCCUGGAAACCACAGUGGAGGGCCGCGCAUGGUGGCUGGGGUAUGUGCUGGGCCCUGUCCACCCUGGAAGAGUGUGGGUCAGUGUUCCA